GAUGAACGCUGGCGGCGUGCCUAAUACAUGCAAGUCGAGCGAACAGACGAGGAGCUUGCUCCUCUGAUGUUAGCGGCGGACGGGUGAGUAACACGUGGAUAACCUACCUAUAAGACUGGGAUAACUUCGGGAAACCGGAGCUAAUACCGGAUAACAUGUUGAACCGCAUGGUUCAACAGUGAAAGACGGUCUUGCUGUCACUUAUAGAUGGAUCCGCGCCGCAUUAGCUAGUUGGUAAGGUAACGGCUUACCAAGGCAACGAUGCGUAGCCGACCUGAGAGGGUGAUCGGCCACACUGGAACUGUGACACGGUCCAGACUCCUACGGGAGGCAGCAGUAGGGAAUCUUCCGCAAUGGGCGAAAGCCUGACGGAGCAACGCCGCGUGAGUGAAGAAGGUCUUCGGAUCGUAAAACUCUGUUAUUAGGGAAGAACAAAUGUGUAAGUAACUAUGCACGUCUUGACGGUACCUAAUCAGAAAGCCACGGCUAACUACGUG
rnacentral:rRNA from 1 species